CACGCAGUCUCCCCCGCCAGAGCCCUGGGCUCGAGGUUGACUUGCGGGUGCACCGCCCGCGAGGCUUCGCGGAGGUGCGGUUUUACUCGCUCAUAGAAUUUUCUCCACCCAUCUUUGACAACGGAGUAUCCCGUCGUCCCUCUGCGGGCUUGUCGUCUAAUUUGUACCUUCUAGAAAACUUCCUGUGCUUGAUCUCUCCGAGACUGGCGCCUCGGGGGCCGGCUAGGAAAAUCCCCGCUUUUCAUUGGUUCUUGAGGUUGUCGCAAUAGAUCUCCGUAGUCUCUGAUUGGUCUCCUAAAAGGAAACUGCGAAUUUCCUCCACCUAUCGGCUCGCGUUCAGCCUGGAGGGGAGCGCGCUCUCGGACACAGUUGAUUAGCCCAUUUCACGGAGUGCGAGGUUUGCGCUCCGAGGUCGUGGUGACCCGGCGGCGUCGCGCUGCGAGCGCACAGCCCUGCUGGCUUUUCUCCCUCGCGGUCUCGCGGCCGGCAUCAGCCUGCACCGCCUCCCAGCACGUGCCGCUCUCGCUCCGUGGGUCUGCUGUGGAGCGCUGGCAGCUGGGAUCACCUGUAGACUGGGGCGUGCGUGGCACUCCCACGCUCCCUGUGGGCGCUCACAAAGGAAACACGGCCGCGGCCUCUGGCCCAAGAAAGUUGAGCAAGACCUGGCAGCCCUCCUACAGAGAGAGCCAUUUAAAGCUGGAGGACUAGAUGAAAACCCCAAAGGAGUAAGUUUAAGUGGAGAGGAGAAGACCCUGGAGUACUCUGAAACUUAAGUACAGAAAAGGAGAGGUGGGGAAAAGACGGGGGGAGCACGGUGUCCCAGAACCUGAGAGAGGAAAGGGUGUCACGGAGAGCCCAACAACGGUUACUCUUAAUGAAAAAGCCCAAUGGCAUCGACUACUGAAGAGUAAACGGUCUCAAAUAUCGUUAUUGAAGGGAGCGUUGGGCCAUCAGAAUUCUGUGGAGUCGUGCUGAUGAUCUAAAUCACCUCUGGUGAUAUUUUGGAAGAACAACUCCAAGGAGAAAUGAUGGGUGUACAGCAUGAGAGCUCAUUUCUUUAGACAUCUACAGUUGUGGCAGAGAAAGAUCACCCCACUGCUCAUUCUAAAAUUGUGGAGGUAACUGCAGGAGUCUGUCAGCAAGAGAGGG